GGUCCUACGGGGGGCAGCAGUAGGGAAUCUUCCACAAUGGACGAAAGUCUGAUGGAGCAACACCGCGUGAGUGAAGAAGGGUUUCGGCUCGUAAAGCUCUGUUGGUAGUGAAGAAAGAUAGAGGUAGUAACUGGCCUUUAUUUGACGGUAAUUACUUAGAAAGUCACGGCUAACUACGUGCCAGCAGCCGCGGUAAUACGUAGGGGGCGAGAGCUAUCCGGAUUUAAUGGGUGUAAAGGGAGAGUAGACGGUUCUGCAAGUCUGAAGUGAAAGCCCGUGGCUUAACCGCGGAACG
rnacentral:rRNA from 1 species